rnacentral:lncRNA from 1 species
CAAACAGACUUGGGACUUUCUCGAGAGAAGAUCUUAUUUAAUGGAAUGAGCAUUCUAUUGGUCUCUUAGGCAAUAAGGCAAUCUUUUAGGUAGAGUUUCUCAAUGGGGUGCCAGGGCAUGCUGAGCUGCUCCAAAUGGGUUGCAGGUGUGUGUGAGAUGGGGCGCCCUUUAGUUCUUGAGGCAGCCAGGCAGGUCCUGGGAUCUCUGGAGUUGUAGCCUAGUUACCUCCUGCUGUGAGCUGCUUCUUGGGUUCACCCCUGGGAGCCAUGCACCAGGCAUUGUUUUCUGUGUGUUCCAGGAAGAGGAAAAAGAGGGAGUUUGUUCCAGGGAAUGUCUUCAGAGUGUGCUGUCAUAUUGUGAGGACCACCUGCUUGAAAUCCACGGGAAGUGUUUUUAGUUCCUCCAUUAGCACACGUUCCCUCAACUGGUCCUGGAAACCAAGGGAGCAGACACCAUGGUGGAAAAACAAAAGCAAAAAUAUAGCAACAACAACAAAACCCAAGCCUGGAGUCACCGAGAGCAAAACUCCAGUUGGAUGGGAAAAUCCAGUCCUUUUAACCAUCAUAUGGCUUUCUCUUGACUAUUUUAAAAUAAACUCAACAUUGCUUUACAGUUUUUGUUUUUUAUCAUACAUAAAACAACCAUUACAGCAACAGUUUGUCCUGUAAUCCUUUCCAUUUGUUUACCAUACUUUUUUUUUUUAAGUUUUUCAAUGCCACACUUACUGCUUUUGACAUAAUAAAGCAUAAAUGGCAGGGAACAUUUUUCUUUCUUUUUUUUUCAAUUUUUGUUUUUGUUUUUAGAGCUAAGCUAUUUUUAGGGAAGAACAAAAGAACUGGCAAGCUCCAAGGACUGUCUGUCUGGUGAAGAACCUUGGCACUUUAUCCCAGGUAGGAUUUGGCUAGUUUGGUCUGCCAACCAAGGAAGGAUCUACCCACAGAGUGGUGACUCAGAGCCCACAGGCAAACUGCAUCUGUGAAGUUCUUUGGAACAGCCGUGGAGGCAGUGUCUUAACACAGGGUGAUGUCCUUAUACUCAGAAGGUAGGAGCUAGCCCUCUCCUCUCAGGAUGAGGACAUUAAUUUCAUCAUGAAGAUUUAUUUCAUGCCAUUACAAUAGGGCUCACAUAUCAAUUUUGAGUGACACUGGCAUUUAGUUUCCAUCAGAGCCUGGGAUAGCUGCUGCUUGUGUUCGGUGGUCAACAGGUUGUCAGAGGGCAGUCCAAAUAGGUUCAGUAGCUGAAAAUCAUGACACCUGCAGAAAGCCCUAGAGACAGGAGAACUGAAUAAGAG